rnacentral:rRNA from 1 species
CACAAGCGGCGGAGCAUGCGGAUUAAUUCGAUGCAACGCGAAGAACCUUACCAAGGCUUGACAUAUACCGGAAACGGCUGGAGACAGUCGCCCCUUCCCUUGUGGCUCGUAUACAGGUGGUGCAUGGUUGUCGUCAGCUCGUGUCGUGAGAUGUUGGGUUAAGUCCCGCAACGAGCGCAACCCUCGUUCUAUGUUGCCAGCACGUAAUGGUGGGAACUCAUGGGAUACUGCCGGGGUCAACUCGGAGG